rnacentral:rRNA from 1 species
CCUACGGGUGGCAGCAGUGAGGAAUAUUGGUCAAUGGACGAGAGUCUGAACCAGCCAAGUAGCGUGAAGGAUGACGUCCCUAUGGAUUGUAAACUUCUUUUAUAUGGGAGUAAAAUGUUCCACGUGUGGGAUUUUGUAUGUACCAUAUGAAUAAGGAUCGGCUAACUACGUGCCAGCAGCCGCGGUAAUACGGAGGAUCCGAGCGUUAUCCGGAUUUAUUGGGUGUAAAGGGUGCGUAGGUGGAUUGUUAAGUCCGUUGUGAAAGUUUGCGGCUCAACCGUAAAAUUGCAGUUGAAACUGGCAGUCUUGAGUACAGUAGAGGUGUGCGGAAUUCGUGGUGUAGCGGUGAAAUGCUUAGAUAUCACGAAGAACUCCGAUUGCGAAGGCAGUUCACUGGACUGCAACUGACACUGAGGCUCGAAAGUGUGGGUAUCAAACAGGAUUAGAUACCCUGGUAGUC